rnacentral:lncRNA from 1 species
UAUGACUUCACUAAAACAAGGUAAGGAAAUCUUAUACUGUCUUUGCACAACCUUAACUGCUUUAGAGACUGACAUAAAACACAUUCGUUGUUUAUAAUAAUAUAUCUUUUUUUGUGAUAAAUGAAUCCUGCAAAAGUAAAUGAGAAAGUGUUGUCCUAAAUUUGAACUUAGACAGCCAACAACCAUUUGAUUUUCUGGUGGGGGUGGUGGCUAUUGAUUGUUUUGAGAACAAAAAGCUUGUUUACAAUUUUUGGAUAAAAAAAUAAUUUGUUUUUGACCCUGACAAAAAAAAAUGUUUGUUUUACCCUCAGCUGCCAUUAAAUGAAAUGCUAAAAUUGAAAGAGAAGAAUUUUUCAACUUGUCUGGAAAAAAAAAUCCAUAGUUCCCCCCUCCCUGAAAACAAAUGGUUGCUGCCUUCAAACAAUCUCUUUCAGAUUAUCAUUUUAAUCAAUCUUAUUUAAAGC